ncrna:unclassified sequences RAGATH-24 RNA
UUGACAGUCCAAAAACCACCUGCCCUCGGGAGAUACCCGAGGUGUGGCCAUUGGGAGAAAUGGCCAGCGAUUCGUUCGCUUGAUGACGUGGGAAUAGGACAC